UAGCUGUGCAACUUUAUAGGAUUUUCCUUGUUUCAAAUAAAUUCCAUGUGGAAGGCUCACUCCAUGCUUCAACACUAUAGAAGCAAAAGUGUUUAGAUCACAGAGUAUUUUGCAAGGAUUUAGUGAACUGUUUGGCAGUUUGACUCUUGAGAAUCAUAAGUGAAGGAGACAAGAAAGUGGAUCUGUAUCAAGUGAGAGGUUGGAAGAAAUCCUAGAAAGAAAAAGACAAGGAGCAUUGCCACUGCUGAUAAAACAGAGGGAAAAAAAAAUCUAAAUGCUACUUUAGUUACCAAAACAUUUGCUUAAAUUAUUAUUUGGAGAAACAAGUUAAUUUAAUAGCUACUGAUCCAAGAUGAGGUCCAGAACUGAGAUCUGAUCAUCUCAGAAUGAAUUGCCCUUCUCUGUCCCUGCUUUCCUGGUGUCUGGAGAGCCUUGUUCUCGGAGUCCUGCUUCCACUCAGUGUGCAGUUCUGCAACUUAGACUAUGAAGAAGCCUGAAGGAACUGUAAAGGAACUGGAAGCAGAGCUUUUCAGAGGUGACGUUGCCUUGGCUGUGGCAGACAUUAGCAGAGGAACUAGAGAACUUUUCACUGUGGAGGAAGACCAUGCUGUUACAGAAGUCAGCUCAUCUUUCUAGUCAGUUCUACUCUCUCUCAAGCACCGAACUCUCACUAACUAAACAAAAUAUAAUCUCCAAACUGUUUUGACUUGUGAUUGUUAUAUAUUAAUCAGCUAUUUAAAGAAAUAGUGGGUUUUUCUGUUGUUGUUAUGAUGUGUAUUUUAAAAGUAGAAGCAAGAGAAGUGUGUGGAGUAUUCAGUUUGUAUUCAGUCGACUAUAAAUUUAACCAAUAUCAGAAUUGCAAAGAUUACCAGACUAUCUGUAUUUUGUAUCUCUAGGUUAAAAGAUGUUGUAUAAAUUGUUUCUUGUAAACUAGAAAAUAUGCAAGAGUUCUGAUGUGGGAAUGGCAUAAAUACAUAAAUAGUGUAUCUAAUAGUUCAUCUAGUGUCCAUGAACAUGUAUGAUGUAUACAGUCUUGCUUUGUAGAACAAUUUCUCUCUGUGCUAGUUUCACAUAGAUAUAUGUGUGUUACACUUCUUAGAGGAGAACUCUCCUUUGUCCUUCCUCUGAAUUUUGGAAAAAAAUUGUGCUUAACAAGAAAGGGUUCAAUAAAAUAGGUAUAGGUCUUGUGUUGUUAUCA
rnacentral:lncRNA from 1 species